UGAUGUAGCUCAGUCGGUAGAGCGCAUCCUUGGUAAGGAUGAGGUCGCCGGUUCAAAUCCGGCCAUCA
rnacentral:tRNA from 1 species